GGCUGGUCCGAAGGUAGUGAGUUACCUCAAUUGACUGUUCACAGUCAGUACAGACUGAACUCCUUGUUCUACUCUUUCCCCCCUUCUCACUACCACACUUGACUAGUCUUAA
rnacentral:Y_RNA from 1 species